UGGGGAAUCUUGCGCAAUGGGCGAAAGCCUGACGCAGCCAUGCCGCGUGAGUGAUGAAGGCCUUAGGGUUGUAAAACUCUUUCACCGGGGACGAUAAUGACGGUACCCGGAGAAGAAGCCCCGGCUAACUUCGUGCCAGCAGCCGCGGUAAUACGAAGGGGGCUAGCGUUGCUCGGAAUUACUGGGCGUAAAGGGCGCGUAGGCGGAUCAGCAAGUUGGGGGUGAAAGCCCGGGGCUCAACCUCGGAAUUGCCUUCAAAACUGCUGAUCUAGAGUACGGGAGAGGUGUGUGGAACUCCGAGUGUAGAGGUGAAAUUCGUAGAUAUUCGGAAGAACACCAGUGGCGAAGGCGACACACUGGCCCGUUACUGACGCUGAGGCGCGAAAGCGUGGGGAGCAAAACAGGAUUAGAUACCCUGGUAAUCCACGCUGUAAACGAUGAUUGCUAGUUGUCGGCAGGCAUGCCUGUCGGUGACGCAGCUAACGCAUUAAGCAAUCCGCCUGGGGAGUACGGUCGCAAGAUUAAAAACUCAAAUGAAUUGACGGGGUCAUAGCUGUUUCCU
rnacentral:rRNA from 1 species